GACGGACGCUGGCGGCGUGCUUAACACAUGCAAGUCGAACGCAGUGGCGAACGGGUGAGUAACGCGUAAUCACCCUGCCCUUCAGAGGGGGAUAACAGUUGGAAACGACUGCUAAUACCGCAUACUGAAGGAGGGGAUUGCGUCUGAUUAGGUAGUUGGAGGGGUAACGGCCCACCAAGGCGAUGAUCAGUAGCCGGGCUGGGAGGAUGAACGGCCACAUUGGGACUGAGACACGGCCCAGACUCCUACGGGAGGGAGCAGUGGGGAAUCUUCCGCAAUGGACGAAAGUCUAACGGAGCAACGCCGCGUGAGUUAUGACGGGCUUCGGGUUGUAAAGCUCUUUUAAUCGGGACGCGGUACCGGAAUAGAAAGCCACGGCUAACUACGUGCCAGCCGCCGCGGUAAUUC
rnacentral:rRNA from 1 species